rnacentral:rRNA from 1 species
UGGGGAUUAUUGCACAAUGGGGGAAACCCUGAUGCAGCGACGCCGCGUGAGCGAAGAAGGCUUUCGAGUCGUAAAGCUCUGUCCUAUGAGAAGAUAAUGACGGUAUCAUAGGAGGAAGCCCUGGCUAAAUACGUGCCAGCAGCCGCGGUAAUACGUAUGGGGCGAGCGUUGUCCGGAAUUAUUGGGCGUAAAGGGUACGUAGGUGGUUUUUUAAGUCAGGUGUCAAAGCGUGGAGCUUAACUCCAUUAAGCACUUGAAACUGAAAGACUUGAGUGAAGGAGAGGAAAGUGGAAUUCCUAGUGUAGCGGUGAAAGGCGUAGAUAUUAGGAGGAAUACCGGUGGCGAAGGCGACUUUCUGGACUUGUACUGACGCUCAGGUACGAAAGCGUGGGGAGCAAACAGG